rnacentral:misc_RNA from 1 species
AUGAGGCCCCCACAGGGAAUGCAGAGCAUAGCGGCACGGGCAAACAGAGUACAGUGGAGCUAAGCCAGGAGAGGACUGAAGAACGCAAAAGAUCAUAGUGCUGGUCCCUCGCAUGUGUCCGAAAGUUUUAUCUGCCUUCUCCCCAACAUUACAAGAUGCGACCAUAUGAUGCCCGCUAUUUGCUCCCAUCAAGCCCCAUAAUGGCAGCAAAGAUUGGUCAU